UCAGAGGUCCCCGGUCUUCCCCUCAUCCUCCGUGGCUGCCUCCAUGGGACAAGGACCGAUUCCAACACAGACUCCUCCUUCCCCCUUCCCAACAGCGGCAGAAGGCAGCGUCCCUGCAUGCCGUCCAUAUACCACCCCUCCCUGAAAAAAGACACAGAGAAUAAACUCCUAUGAAAGUCCUACGUGAGCUCCGAUCUGCUCUCGGGGUGGGACGGGUGCUCCCCGCAUCUCCAGGAGAAGGCUGCAGCCACCUGGGGCUUCCAGGGUGGUGGAGGUGGCAGAGGGGGUACCACAGCUCUGAGAGCAGAUGCCAGGGGUACUAAGAGGUGCUUAGAUAAGGCUGGUGCCCGGCCACAGGUGCCCAGCCCAGUGGGGGCUUGCCGCGGCAGAUAAAGCUCAGGACGCCAGAAACUCACCAUGGACACCAAGGCAGAAACCAAGGACCGUCCGCAGGCAAAGAAGCACCCAGCAUCCAUCCCAGCUGUCGGUGCCCCGUACCCUGUAUUUAUUCUUUUAACAAUAACAAAAGCCAUUUAUUUAUUCCAUCUAGAAAGGAAACGUUGUUUCAGUCACCUCUCUCCGGCUGUUCUGUGACUUUCCUCCCAUCCCUGGGAUGGGUGGCCAUGCGUGAGGCACAUGUGCACACGUGCCCAGGCACAAGUGUGUUUUUGGGCCCCCUGCCCCGCAGUUUCCAGGGGGCUCUGCUCCAAGUUCCCUAGCAGGCCCCUCAGGGAGAAAGAGCCUCACAUGCAAUCUGGGUGUCCUCGGGGCCCAUCUGGAAGUGCCCUGCUUCUCCAGGUAGCCACUUACCUCCUGGGCUCAGACGUCUUUGCACAUGGCUGUAUUUCUUUAGUCUUCUCUGGGUCUUUUGGUGUGGGUUUGAUUUUGCUUUUGCUUUUCUGACUGACAUUUCCCAAGUGCAUCCUCAGAAGCUCUGGGUGUGCCAGAGGACCCCCAGAACCAAGAAGGGAGGGCGAGCACAUCCCCAUUCCCUGAGAAGUCGGGGGCAGGGUGGGACAGGGAGGCCAGGAGCAGAGUCGAGCCUCACAGAAGCCAGCACGGGUCUCUGCUCAGCACCCCUGCUGGGGCUCCAGGCCCAGGGAAACAGCCCCAGUUCAUCCCAACCCUUCCCAGAGCCUCAAGAAGGGUGACUCGGCUGCCGGCAAGAGAGGGGUGCCCUGUCCCUGCAGCCCCUCCAUGUAGCAUGCCCAGCACCUGCCACCACCUUCGCCAUUUCUUUGAGCUUGAAGUUAACUCUCUGAGAGUCUAACUUUGGUUCAUUUCUGCACAGGUACAAUAGAUGACUUUAUUUGUUUAAAAUGUUUAAUAUAUACACAUAUAUAUAUAUAUAUAUAUAUUUGUCUGUAAGAAUUGUUUUAAACAGCUGCUGUAGGGUACUGUUUUUUAAGUAAAUCUUCCAGUGGAGUAUAUUUUUUAAAGCACAAUGUUGGUGCCAAGUCUGGGUGAGAAAUGUAUAUUACUCCCUUAUUAUUCUGAGAGGUUUUUUUUAUUUUUGGGGGGCAGGGAACCUUACCUGUAAGACUUUUUAAAGAUUCUCCUCCCUCCUGUUUGAGGUGGGUCACAUUCUGAUGAAUGUUUCACUUGUACAGAUCCCAGCUUAUGGCCUUGACCCAGCUGUCCCCACGGACACCGGGUGACUCGAGUUCUCUCUGCAUCUCCCACCUCCUGAUGCCCUGGGACCCUCGACCCCCACCCCCCACCUUCUUUCCUACCAGCCCAGAGCCUUGUGGCUUGUACAGUUUUGAAACUUCCGUUCUAUUUUAUGAUGGUUGAUAAUAGUAACCUAAUAAAGGAACGUUUGUUAAAACAUCA